AUACCCGGGUAGUCCCAGCUGUAAACGAUGCAGACUAGGUGUUUGGACGGCCACGUGCCGUUCUAGUGCCGCAGGGAAGCUGUUAAGUCUGCCGCCUGGGGAGUACGAUCGCAAGAUUGAAACUUAAAGGAAUUGGCGGGGGAGCACCACAAGGGGUGAAGCUUGCGGUUUAAUUGGAGUCAACGCCGGAAAUCUCACCGGGAGCGACAGCAGUAUGAAGGCCAGAUUAAAGGUCUUGCCAGACGAGCUGAGAGGAGGUGCAUGGCCGUCGCCAGUUCGUGCCGUGAGGUGUCCUGUUAAGUCAGGCAACGAUCGAGACCCGCGUCCUCUGUUGCAACUAGCUUUGAGCUGGGCACACUGAGGAGACCGCCACUGAUAAAGUGGAGGAAGGAGCGGGCCACGGCAGGUCAGUAUGCCCCGAAUCUCCCGGGCCACACGCGAGCUGCAAUGGCAGGUACAAUGGGUUCCGACCUCGAAAGGGGAAGGCAAUCUCGAAAGCCUGCCGUAGUUGGGAUCGAGGGCUGUAACCCGCCCUCGUGAACAUGGAAUCCCUAGUAAUCGC
rnacentral:rRNA from 1 species